rnacentral:rRNA from 1 species
GACAGGCUCAGGAUGAACGCUAGCGGCAGGCUUAACACAUGCAAGUCGAGGGGUAUAGUUCUUCGGAAUUAGAGACCGGCGCACGGGUGCGUAACGCGUAUGCAAUCUGCCUUUCACAGAGGGAUAGCCCAGAGAAAUUUGGAUUAAUACCUCAUAGUAUUAUAGAGUGGCAUCACUUUAUAAUUAAAGUCACAACGGUGAAAGAUGAGCAUGCGUCCCAUUAGCUAGUUGGUAAGGUAACGGCUUACCAAGGCAACGAUGGGUAGGGGUCCUGAGAGGGAGAUCCCCCACACUGGUACUGAGACACGGACCAGACUCCUACGGGAGGCAGCAGUGAGGAAUAUUGGACAAUGGGCGCAAGCCUGAUCCAGCCAUGCCGCGUGCAGGAUGACGGUCCUAUGGAUUGUAAACUGCUUUUGUACGAGAAGAAACACUCCUUCGUGAAGGAGCUUGACGGUAUCGUAAGAAUAAGGAUCGGCUAACUCCGUGCCAGCAGCCGCGGUAAUACGGAGGAUCCAAGCGUUAUCCGGAAUCAUUGGGUUUAAAGGGUCCGUAGGCGGUUUAAUAAGUCAGUGGUGAAAGCCCAUCGCUCAACGGUGGAACGGCCAUUGAUACUGUUAAACUUGAAUUAUUAGGAAGUAACUAGAAUAUGUAGUGUAGCGGUGAAAUGCUUAGAUAUUACAUGGAAUACCAAUUGCGAAGGCAGGUUACUACUAAUGGAUUGACGCUGAUGGACGAAAGCGUGGGGAGCGAACAGGAUUAGAUACCCUGGUAGUCCACGCCGUAAACGAUGGAUACUAGCUGUUGGAAGCAAUUUCAGUGGCUAAGCGAAAGUGAUAAGUAUCCCACCUGGGGAGUACGUUCGCAAGAAUGAAACUCAAAGGAAUUGACGGGGGCCCGCACAAGCGGUGGAGCAUGUGGUUUAAUUCGAUGAUACGCGAGGAACCUUACCAAGGCUUAAAUGUAGAUUGACCGGUUUGGAAACAGAUCUUUCGCAAGACAAUUUACAAGGUGCUGCAUGGUUGUCGUCAGCUCGUGCCGUGAGGUGUCAGGUUAAGUCCUAUAACGAGCGCAACCCCUGUUGUUAGUUGCCAGCGAGUCAAGUCGGGAACUCUAACAAGACUGCCAGUGCAAACUGUGAGGAAAGGUGGGGAUGACGUCAAAUCAUCACGGCCCUUACGCCUUGGGCUACACACGUGCUACAAUGGCCGGUACAGAGAGCAGCCACUGGGCGACCAGGAGCGAAUCUAUAAACCGGUCACAGUUCGGAUCGGAGUCUGCAACUCGAC